rnacentral:lncRNA from 1 species
GUUCGUCCCAAAACUGGUUUCCCUUCAAUUUAUUUUUCUUUUUUUUCUUUUUCGUUGUGCAUUUUCAAAAAACAUGUUAAAGACAGUUAAAAUUGCACUAGCUGUCAAAUUCAUGUUCACUGACUUGACUCAAAUCCUCAUAUUUGAUUUAUAAUAUACUAAACUUAUAUCCAAAUUACAAAACGUCUAAAAUGAACAAUUAACAAAGCAUUAAAGCAAUAAUAUGUAUCAAAAUUUCGUG